UUUAACUGAAGAGUUUGAUCAUGGCUCAGAUUGAACGCUGGCGGCAGGCUUAACACAUGCAAGUCGAGCGGGGGAAGGUAGCUUGCUACCGGACCUAGCGGCGGACGGGUGAGUAAUGCU
rnacentral:rRNA from 1 species